GGGGCUGAAGAUAUAACUCAGUUGGUAGAGUGCUUGCCUCACAGGCACAAGGCUCCGGGUUCAAUCCCCAGCAAGCCCCA
rnacentral:tRNA from 1 species